ensembl:lncRNA
UUUUUUUUUAUUUUCCCACUGUACAGCAAGGGGAUCAAGUUAUCCUUACAUGUAUACAUUACAAUUACAUUUUCCCCCCACCCUUUGUUCUGUUGCAACAUGAGUAUCUAGACAUAGUUCUCAAUGCUACUCAGCAGGAUCUCCUUGCAAAUCUAUUCUAAGUUGUGUCUGAUAAGCCCAAGCUCCCGAUCCCUCCCACUCCCGCCCCCUCCCAUCAGGCAGCCACAAGUCUCUUCUCCAAGUCCAUGAUUUUCUUUUCUGAGGAGAUGUUCAUUUGUGCUGGAUAUUAGGAUAAAAGUGAAUAUAAUGACAGCAAAUAUAUAGUAAGCCAUGGCAGUCCAGCCCAGAUAAUAGUCACCUUUAUUCCAAAACGUUUGUAAAAUAUUUCAAAAUAUUGGUUAGAAAGGAAUGGUCCACGAAGGCAAAAGUAGGCAGGGCCAUCAAAGUUCAUAUGUGGCCCCUGUUUAAUCCCAUCAGCUUAAGGUACUAUCUGCUUGUCUAGAGGCUUUGUCAGCCCAGGGAUACCACAGAGCCCUUCCCAGGGAUGGUGACAAUCUUGGAAACAGGGCAUGCCAACCCCUAGAAGAAUGUGAGGUUGACCUGGGGCAGAGCAGGGCAGCUUCCAUGACCAGUGCACAUCACCGCAGGCCUGCCUCUCUGCCCUCCCUCCUGAUCUCACUUCUCUUCAGCCAGCUUUCCUCAAACACUUUUCCUUCCUUAUUCAAGAAAUUCCAGGUGCCUCCCCACCUUUCUCACAGGCAUACUGACUCUACCAGCAGGGGGUAGGAGCAUCCUCUCCCUUUUCUCCGGACAGCAGAGAGAAGACAAGCUUGGGAGUCUUGGCAGAAGACCCAGCUCAGCUGCUUGCUGGCUCUGAACCCUAAGGAAAGUCUCCUUGCUUCUCAGACUCUCAGAUCUCCAUCCAGGAAAAGGGGAUGCUAUCAAUGCAGAGGGGAAUUUUGAGGUAAAAAGUUAUCCUCUGUGUGAAAUGCAUGGCGUGGGGCCUGGUGUAGAGUCAGUGCUCAGUAUCCAUGUGCUCAUUCCUGUGUGGCAGAAGUUUGAUGUGGUUCCCACUCACCCUUUUCCAGGUUGCUUCAAGCUCCAUUGUCCCUUCCCACCCCAUAGCCCCCACCUCACAUUCUCUCAUGUCUUCUUGCUCCUACACACAAAUAUUUAAUUGGAUUCAACAUAUACUCCCUGAGCUCCCUGACACUGGCUCUUCUAGAUGCCUCUCACUCUGUCCCUGUCUUGGAUGUCAUAGACUAAGCAAGGAGAUGAGCCUGUACAUCUGAAGUUAGGUUUAUGUGACAAAAUUCCACUCAAAAAAUUCUUCAUGAACUUGGGGGUAGGUUGAUUGAGAAAUACUGGCUGAGGCUGGAAGGGUGUGAGCUAGAGAGGAUAAAAUGGGGCAAACCGAGUGGGGGAGGGUGUUUGUAGAGGAAGGGCUUGUAGUGACAGAGUCUACGCAGUAAACAGUGACUAAGGGCUCCUUUUAUGCCUAGGAUUGUACUAGGCACUGUGCUAGGUGUAUAGGUUCCUCACAACACCCUAACAAAGUAGGCCUUCCUGUACAGAUGAGAAAACUGAAUCUCAAAGAGUAAAGUUCACACUGCUAAGAAGUGGCAGGUCCAGGAAUUGAACCCACCUCUAUCUCUCCAAAUUCCUUCACUGGGACUUCAUGCAUCCAUGAGUUGACACUAUGAAGGGCUCAGAGAUGAACCCCACUAGGUGCUGAUCCUGAUCCCAGGUGCUCCCAAGCUAAUGGGGAGACUGUCAAUGUGACUGGUGCCCAAAGAACCCUACAAGGAGGUAUUGGUGAGAUGGGGGUCUUAAAAUAGAUGCAAAAGGCAAUGACCACUCAGAAGAGGGAUGGAACAAACCUUGCUGAAAGUUUCAGGAAUGACUUCAUGGUGGAGAUAUAUUGGAGUUGAGUGUUGCCAGAUGGGUGAGGUUGGACAGUGACAGCAGUUUGCAAUAGUCAACCUAUCUUGCUAAGUAAUUUACACAUCUCUCUGAACCUCAUUUUAUUUGUGUAUGGAGAAACUGGGGCCCCCAAAAUUUAAAUAACUUGCCAAUCGCCCCAGAGGUUAGACUUGAACUUGGGUCCUCUGAAUCCAAGACAGCCUUAUGUCAAUUCCUGGCAAAAGGAACUAAAGUAGCAUGCCUAAGACAUGGCUGGAGAAGGGAGGUGAAGUGGGAGAGAAACUUGGUGGACAGGUCAAGGCUGCAGUGUAGGGUCCUGAAUGCCACAGUUUGGUAGUCAACUGUGGGGUGUGGAGGAAGCAAAGGCAUUGACAGGUUUUGAGUCAGAAAGACAGGGUGACAAUUGACCCUAGAAAGACCCUAGAACUAGGUAUAGGUGGAAAAGGGUGGAAGAAGAAGGACGGGUUACAGCCUCUCCUGAAUAUCCAGGUUGAAAGGAAAGCAACAUGAACUGGGCUGCCAUAGGCAUGGGGUGGGGAUGGGGAAACACUGUGUAGGGAGAUUUAGCCAGAUGUGGCUACUUCCCCAUUAGCCCCAUGUGAUCUGGUCCUACAUCUCAUCAGCUGUUCCUCCUGGAAAGUGCUGACUUCAUCCCACCCCAAGCCCUUGGUGCUUGUUCACUAUUUCUACUGCCUGGAACGCUUUCCCUUAGAUCUUCGCAUGGACCAUUCCUUUUUCCCAGGUCUUGGCUUAUGUGCCACAUGCUCAGAGAGGCUCUUACUGACCACCCUAUCGGAGUAAGUGCUCCAUCACUACCACCUCACCGAUUUAUUGCCUUCAUCACCCUGGUCAUGGCUGAAGUUAGCUUGAGUGUGUGUUUAUUAUCUACUUCCCUUCACUAACCCAUCUAAUAGAAUGUGGGCUAAAGGCAUGUGAGAAUCUUAUCAGUCUUGUUCAUUGCUGUAUUUCCUGUGUCCCAGCAGAGUCUGGUAUAUAACAGACAUUCCACAACUACUUGUUGAAUGGCAGAAUGGAUGAGUUUGAGAGGAUAUGUUUGAUGGAGGGAUGGAUUGGUUGAAAGAGGAGAGGUCGUGGCUGAUUUGGGGAUUUGAGCUAAGUAGCCAGGAAGAUAACAUUGCUACAGAGACAGGACAGACAGCAGGGAGCAGACUGUGUGUCAGAAGAUGACCAGUGUGGCUCCUCUAUGUUCGGCUUGGGCUUGUUGAGUUUGACAUGUAGGUGGGUCUUCCAGGUGGAAAGGUUCACUCAUGGAGUGGGAAAUAGCUGUCACAGCAAAAGGAAGUGAUGAGGCUUUUGGUAGUGAUGGGGGGGGUAUCUGCACAGAGGUAUAAACUGAAACGAUGAAUGUCAGCGAAGUCCCUUAUAAGAAAGUUGAGACAGAGAGGAGAGGAUAAGAAAGAAGGAUUUCAAAAAGGAAGAUAAGGCCAUGGGGCCAAAUUCUCCAAGAGGAAGUGGAGUGAAAACCAAUCAGUAGUUAGGAUGCAAAGAGGUCACUGAAAGGUUUAGAGCCUGGUGAGGAAGUAGGUGUGUCCAGAAUGGUGGAAACCGAGGCUGUGGAGGUCUAGGAACCCAAAGGGGAGGUAGGGCCUUGAUGCCAAUCAGAAAAUAAUAUGCAUAUGCACCCCACCCCCUCGCCCAAGUCUGAAGCCUCUCUACAGAGUCUGACUAGUAGGGAAGAGGCAUGGCAGGGGAGACCACCAUUUAUUUGUGUCUGCCAUGUCCUAGGCACUGUUCAACUCCAUCAUCAACCACUGGCUCAUUUAACCCCAACAAGAGCCUUACAAGAUACAAUGAUUUUUAGCCUUAUUUUCUGCAAGGAAAAACAAAUCAGAAAGGUUACAUGUGUCACCUAAGGUCACUCAGCCAGGUGAUAUAGCUAGGAUCUGAACUUAGGUUUGUCUACCAGCUACCCUCAGCCACUCUGGAAAUAGAGCACUGGAAAAUAGAAAAUAAUAGAUGGACACUCACGAAUAGAUUGUCCAGUUCCCACAUGGAAUUUACCCACAAUCUGGUUUCAUUGGGGUAAUGGGUCAGGGGAAGCAUAAGAAUGAAAAGUACAGGCGACAGGAUUGGGAAUUUGAGGGUGAGGGUUCUCUGGCACCAGGGAAAGGUCAACUCAAGGUAGAUGGAGAUCCAAGACUGAAGGCUAAAAAUGGCCAUGGAUGGUGCUUGCCAUGCAUGGGAAUGAGAGGCCUGGGCAGUCUCAUCAUUAUGACACCCAU